GUCGCUCCCCUGCCCCGUCGCCGGCCCUCCCCUGCCCCGUCGCCAGCCCUCCCCCGCCACCCUGUCGCCGGCCCCGUCGCUCCCUGCUGCAGGCGACGCCGCCGCCGCAAGUCGGGAGCCCUGUAUCUCGUGUCGGGCCUUGGCGGGAAGAUCGACAAGGAACAAGUCAAAUUGGCGGGAAGCUCGGGAUGUUUUCCGCAAACGCCGGCAACACGCGCAGUAACUGCAGUGCGCGGGGCGGUUACGGGGCUAUCUCCUACCUCCCGUUUGUGGAUCCUCCAGUGUUGAGCUCAACCAAGCGGCGGCCAUACAUCCGGCGACCGGCCAUAGGCGCGACUUGGAGCUCGGGCGACAUGGAGUCUUUUGACGCAGCUGAUUAAUAGAAGUAGAACUCUGCUAGAGGACGUUCGCCGGGAUGGAGCCUCUUCAUUAACCGGUGACGACGCCGCCGGUGUGCGAGUUGCCGACCAGGACAGCAUCAAGUGCAGACGGGCAGGUCUGCACAGAGGGCGUUGGUCGAGAAGCAGGAAGUGCAGACAAGGGCCAAGCUUCAGAGCAGUCGAUUGAGCAGGUGGAUCCGAAAACACCUGGGUGGACGCAAAG
rnacentral:rRNA from 1 species